GAAAGCUGCAGCGAGCACAUGUGGAUUUUCAUCCGUCUUUAUAUUGUGAUUUAACCGUGCUAAAAUCGUCAACGUUCCAACGGCAUCAUAGAUUGGAGCUGGAUAGAUUCAGAUAUCCCCCGAUUACAAGGCAUCUUCCACUGCAGCUGAUGUAGAAAGGACACUUGAACUGCCUUCAACUCCUCGACUGAUACUCUUUGGUGAAAAACCAGGAAGCUGCAUUCAUAAAUGGAUGAUUAGUUUUGAGGGGCAAAUAAUCUGUGAGGGCAUCCAGCCAAGUUUUCUGUCUGGACUUGCUGCUGUGUUUUCAACUUUCUACAAUUUCAAUGUGGAGUACCAAGCUGAGGCUGCAUCCACGUUGGAAUUCAUUCAGAGGUGCUUCAUUGGAAUAAAUCCUGAAAAAGGCACCAAGGGUGGACAAGUCCUAUCAAAGCGGACAGGGAAGGUCGGCCACAAAAAGAAAUCAGUCAACACUCGGGUUGCCAGUCUACUUAAGAAGCUAAUGGACUUUGAGUGGGACUUCAUAUAAGUGAACUCACUCAUCCACUGACAUACCACACACACACCGUACACAUACUCUUCACACAUGAUAAAAACA